rnacentral:rRNA from 1 species
UACGUAGGGGGCAAGCGUUAUCCGGAUUUACUGGGUGUAAAGGGAGCGUAGACGGCGAGACAAGUCUGAAGUGAAAUGCCAGUGCUCAACACUGGAACUGCUUUGGAAACUGCCUGGCUGGAGUGCGGGAGAGGUAAGUGGAAUUCCUAGUGUAGCGGUGAAAUGCGUAGAUAUUAGGAGGAACACCAGUGGCGAAGGCGGCUUACUGGACCGUAACUGACGUUGAGGCUCGAAAGCGUGGGGAGCAAACGGG